CCUACGGAAGGCUGCAGUGGGGAAUAUUGGACAAUGGGGGGAACCCUGAUCCAGCCAUGCCGCGUGUGUGAAGAAGGCCCUCGGGUUGUAAAGCACUUUCAGUGAGGAAGAACGCCUGGUGGUUAAUACCCAUCAGGAAAGACAUCACUCACAGAAGAAGCACCGGCUAACUCCGUGCCAGCAGCCGCGGUAAUACGGAGGGUGCGAGCGUUAAUCGGAAUUACUGGGCGUAAAGCGCGCGUAGGUGGCUUGAUAAGCCGGUUGUGAAAGCCCCGGGCUCAACCUGGGAACGGCAUCCGGAACUGUCAAGCUAGAGUGCAGGAGAGGAAGGUAGAAUUCCCGGUGUAGCGGUGAAAUGCGUAGAGAUCGGGAGGAAUACCAGUGGCGAAGGCGGCCUUCUGGACUGACACUGACACUGAGGUGCGAAAGCGUGGGUAGCAAACAGGAUUAGAUACCCUAGUAGUC
rnacentral:rRNA from 1 species